rnacentral:tRNA from 1 species
UCCCUGGUGGCUUAGACGGAAAAGAAUUUGCCUGCAAUGCUGGAGACCCAGGUUCAAUCCCUGGGUUGGGAA